AUGAAGCUGUGGCUGAACUGUAUUUUCUUUGUAACUCUUGUAAAAGAUAUCCAAUGUGAAGUGCAGCUGGUGGAGUCUGGAGGAGGAUUGGUACAGCCUGAGGCUUCCCUGAAACUCUCCUGUGCAACCUCUGGAUUCACCUUCAGUGACUAUUAUAUGUACUGGAUCCGCCAGGCUCCAGGGAAGGGACUGGAAUGGAUUGCAGUGAGUAGAAGCAAAGCUAAUGGUUACUCAACAGAGUACAGCGCGUCUGUGAAGGGCCGGUUCACCAUCUCCAGGGAUGAUUCCAAAAACACCCUCUACCUGCAAAUGAACAACCUGAAAGCUGAGGACACUGCCACUUACUACUGUGCAAGAGACACAGGGAGAGGACUUCAGUGUGAGCCCAGACACAAACCUACUUGCAGGGGCGCUCAGCACCAACAGGGGGCGCUCAAGGCCAGAGAAAAAGGCCAGGAUGUAUUAUUUCUCCAUACACUACUUUUCUCAGGAAAGUUCUCUGGAACAUAUAAUGCUGUAUCUACCACAGAAGUCUCUGCAUUGGGAAGUGGCAACUGUACAGAACGGCUGAACAUGAGAGACUGUAAUGUGGGUGUAAAUUUCUAUUUGGCAAGAGGAAAAUCCUGGAGACAAGAAUAG